GGAACUAUAGCUCAGUUGGUUAGAGUACCUCGUUGACAUCGAGGGGGUCACUGGUUCGAGUCCAGUUAGUUCCACCA
rnacentral:tRNA from 4 species